rnacentral:rRNA from 1 species
AGCGAACGCUGGCGGCAGGCCUAACACAUGCAAGUCGAACGAAGUCUUCGGACUUAGUGGCGGACGGGUGAGUAACACGUGGGAACGUACCUUUUGGUUCGGAACAACUCAGGGAAACUUGAGCUAAUACCGGAUGAGCCCUUAGGGGGAAAGAUUUAUCGCCAAAAGAGCGGCCCGCGUUAGAUUAGCUAGUUGGUGAGGUAAAGGCUCACCAAGGCUACGAUCUAUAGCUGGUCUGAGAGGAUGAUCAGCCACACUGGGACUGAGACACGGCCCAGACUCCUACGGGAGGCAGCAGUGGGGAAUCUUGCGCAAUGGGUGAAAGCCUGACGCAGCCAUGCCGCGUGAAUGAUGAAGGUCUUAGGAUUGUAAAAUUCUUUUACCAGGGACGAUAAUGACGGUACCUGGAGAAAAAGCCCCGGCUAACUUCGUGCCAGCCGCCGCCGUUAAGAC